rnacentral:sRNA from 1 species
UUUCCCACGAGCGCCAAUUCAAUGUACUUCGCGCGCGCGCAACUUUCUGCGUGUGUGUGUGCCUCACAUUAGCCAAUUAUGCAGACGACGCAUUUAACGUGGCCAAAAGCCGGCAGUCAAGGCAACCGAGAGAAGUCAACCAGCCAAGCGACUGACUGCGACUAUACUGGGCCGCUUUAUGCCUUUUGUUGCCGUGUAUCAACUCGGCAAUUUGUAAGCAAUUUACGUGGCUCGAGCUAAUUAACUCGCCAUAUUUUCUAUGCCUACAAAGUUUCAAUGAGCCGGGCUAAGCCAGCGCCGCACCACCGAAAGCCAUCAUCAUCAGACAACAACAUCUUCGCCUGUUUUUGGGUGACCCACUGACUCGGUGACUCGGUGACAAAGUUCCCUGUUGGCCCAGUGACUUGGCUUGGCCCAAAGAGCGACAUAUCGCGAGAGAGCUGGCUAAGAGAGCGCGCUAAGAGCAGGAGAGUCCUUUCACCGUUGAGGGAGAAAGUGCCUGCAACAUUUAAGUAAGUUGGCAACAUGUUGCCGGCACUUUCAAUUAUCUAUGCGAUAGAAAAUUAAAAUAAUGAACAGUGGCUCACACAAACGCACACAUGCACACACACGGACCAGCACACACACCUCACUGCACAUGUGUGCGCGCCAUUCAAAUAGGUUAGGAAAAUAUGUAAAUGCUGUUGGCAUAUCGUAUAUGGGAAAUAUAUAUAUGGAAUAUGCGAGCAUGCGACCACCUAUCGUAAAUGUAUGUGGGCGAGAAUAGAAAAUUGCGGCAUUUACGUGGGGCGGGCCAAGGACUCGUCGCUGUCUCUGCUUUUCCGCUUUUCUUCUAGUCCUUCGUCUCGUCACCGCUCUGCACAGCUCUUCUCGGUUUUUUGAAGUUUUCGCCUCAUGGCUCAUCGAGCACUCCCUCCCCCCAACCACGUGGCAUGUGCCCAUUCGAACUCAUUUUCAGUCACACACCCUGCCCCCCCGCCUCCGGCAAGGACACCCAAAAUAAACAUAAUCUGAGCCGGGGUGUGUGCAUGGAAAUGCUAAAAGCGUCUGCCGGCAACAAAACCAAGAACAACGUGGCACAUUAUUUAAUCAAGCGAAGAAAUUGAAUAGGCCCUUAAAACUUUUACCCGAGGCACUUAACCCCCAGUGAAAAUGGGAAUUGACGACAUCGCCAGCCAGCCAGCCAGCCAUCCAGCCAACUUGAAGAAUUCCAACCCAAAAAAGCCAAUGUCAAAGCCCAACAAAAUAAAAAGGGCACAUCCAACAAGUCCAGGACGCAGCCGAAAGACGCAUCCAAAAAUGCCAAAUCCCCUGGCCAGACGAGCAGAAAAAUGAGCUGAUAAGGGAAUUUCAUGCAAAAUUGGUAAGCCAACAACCUGAUUACUUAAUUGCCAGUUUUGCGGUCCCAACUUCUGCACGGUGUGUCUGGGAGUCAUAAAUUUUACAGCUCGAAGAUGUCGCUGCAAAUGGAGCAUAAAGUGUUUGGAUGAGUUGUGACCUGAUAGUCGGGAACGGAGGGGAGCGCCCUGAUUUGUGGGCGGAAGAUGACGGGUGAACUGCGUCAGGACAGCAUUUUGACAAGGGUCGUUGAGAUCGUUAGACAUCAAGAAACCAAACACCGAUGCCCCUUGUCAAAGGUCGGAGUUCGGUCCGUGGGGAAUGGAAAGUGGAAGUUUGCGAGUCCUGGGACAUGAGAGGCACACCAACAGGGGAGGGAGCAGGAGUCCUGGCCCUUGGCUGACCAUUUCCACGGCUUCCGUUCGACUCGCUGGCUCACUCGAAUUGCUAUUUGAUUUCAGCAUUGAUUUAUGAGCGUGUCCGGUUCACGUAGACCCCGUACAUAGCCAGCGCAAGUCCGCAUCUACAUCCGCAUGUCCAUACUCCACGCUCGCUCCUCCUUCCGCUCACAUCCGCAUUCGCAUCCGCAGUUGUGUUCGUGUUCGUGUUGCGCUGCCUUUGGCAGAUUUGCCUUCGCAGUACGCUCAGUUGAGCCGGCGACUGGCAGCUGAUUGCCCAAAGUCAGUAAAUUAAAGUUCAUUCAGCAGCUCAAAAAGGUUCGAGGGAUCGAUUCCUGGUCGCUGGUGCCUGGCUCCUGGCCCAUGGUUCUGGCUUUGACGCACAUCUGUAAUUUAUUCGCUGGCAAAAACCACAAAAGCAAAAUAGAUAUUUAUUAACAUAUAAAUUAUGCAUGUGAUUGGCCUCAACGGGCGACUCGAUACGGCUGCUAACGUGUCCUCCCCUCCCUUUUUCUUUGCUACAAAAUUCCCUUUUAUGUCCUUAAACUGUUCCAUCGGAGCGCAGAUAAAGUGAAGGCGAGGAUAGUUCUGCCUGUCACAUAAAUCGGAUCAAUAAAUGAUGAUAUUAUGCUACCGCAGGGACACAUUCAGCUGCCACACUCGCACAGAGACAUUUACACCGUGAAAAAAACAAUGCAACAAAGGUUGAUUUAAGAAAAAAGGGAGAUUUAAAUAAAUACAUUUUUUAUAUGGUAUUUCGCUUUCAAUAAAUGUGCAGGGGAUCCCGAGACUGCUGCCAAGUUGUAGGUGGCAACACAUUAAGAUAAAGUGACAACGCCUCCAUGGAGCACAGUGGACGUCGAGGAUGCGCGAGGAUGCCCCAGUGGAUGCAGAAAAGGGGUAGCUAAGGGCGAGGGGCGGAUCGAGAUGACGAUGGAGAUGGUGAUGGAGGUGCCUGAUGGGGGAUGGGUGCUGCUCUGCUGUGCUGAAGGACAAACAGAAAUCAGGCGGCAAACAUCAAGAGUAGCAGCAAUGGCUGGGGUACACAAAUGAAUUGUAUACAUGUCCCGCUUCGCGAUGGAGCGCAAGUGUGUGAGUGCGAGUGUGUAGUGUGCGUGUGCAUGUGUGAGUGAGGCGGAUAAGCUUUUAUUUUCGCUUGGCAUUUUAUGCGCAUCACGCAUACGCACUGUUACACACAGUCGAACGUACUGAGAUGCCAGCAGAUAGCAGCAGAUAGCAUAGAUGUGUGCUCCGAAAACACAGCGACAUGCACAAACGCAAACAGUCCCUCGCUUCGCAUCAAAGGAUGUGGGAGCGGUGGCGGGGGCGGGGCAAGGGUUCUGGCUAUAAUGACAUUUAGCUUUUGAAACAAUGUAAACAGCAGCAGCGGCGAAAACAACGUCGAAGUUCAAAGUUGGCUCUUGCUGUAGGCCGCCGAAAGUUGCCCUAAGUACCAAGGCACACACACAUGCUCGCAAAACGAGAAGAUGCAGGAUGCGGAUGCGGAGGAGGAGGAGGAGGAUGAGUCGGAGGCUUCUAUGGACUCAUCCGUGACAAAGGGCCCUGGGUUGUGUGCCCUGGAAUUUUGCAUGAGCCGCCAGCCACCGCAAAUAGUGAAGGGAUACACACGCACCCACCAUCACCACCACCAUAUCAACCUGCCCAACUGCCCAGGUAAACUGUCAACUUAAGCCCGGUGAGAGGCCAUAAAUUGCCUCCGGAGGUGGAGUUGGAACUAGUGAAACCGACAAGACGCUGACAUUAACUAGGCCAGAUAUUGAGACAGCUCCGAAACGGAUAUGAGGCGCCCAAACCACGAGGCCAUUCCUCACGCAAUCGGACAACCACCUGCAAAGAGGUCUCUGCCAGAACCCAGAUCCCUGCACCAAGCUUCCAGCUACCAGAGCGGGUCAAGUUCCAUUGCUGGCUUUGAUUAAGUGCGGCGAUAACAAGGAGAAAUCGUUAUCCGGGGAUAAGGCCGGGCAUGAUGCGGGGCACUCCGGGGCACUGAGCCGGAGUUAUUGUUGGGCAAAUUGAUGCUUUCACGUGCAGAUGGAUGGCCGCAGCCGAGGCCUUUAUGUAUACUUAUAGGGCUAUAUAGCUGGCACUCUCCAUUGUUCGCGUCGAGUAUUCAAAUGACAUAUUAUAUAACAUUGUGAAAACAUUUACGCUCGCUUGUAAAUAUUUCAAUUUAUUUAAUGCCACCCAGAACCACCGAGUGGGUAUCUUUUAUGUGCAUCUAGUCUAGCUGGCCUGCACACCGCAUGGAAUAAAGAAGGCAUAAAGAAUGGCCCGCCAUAAUCAUAUGCCAAUAAAAAGUCGGUUAACAGGGACUCAGUUUCGGUCUUAGCACGGUUUUUAGGGUUUCUGGUCCAGGUUGGGGACUGGGGAUUGGGAAUGGGACACGUUAUCAUUAUGCGCUACAUCGCUUACACAUGCGGCCAUGCCAGAGUAAAUGGAAGGGCCAAGGCGGCGAUGUGGGGGUUUGGGGCUUUAUAAUACAUUCAAUUCAUGGCCAGAACAAAUGAUGUGGAAAUGUAAAAUAGAUGCCCGUCCACGCAAGAUGCCGCACAAACAGACUCACGGCCAGACAAACUGGCGCAGCAUGUGGCCAGCACUGCACAGGAGAAAAAAUCCAAUAAAGUUUUUAGUACGAAAUAAA